rnacentral:rRNA from 1 species
UACGGAGGGUGCAAGCGUUAAUCGGAAUUACUGGGCGUAAAGCGUGCGCAGGCGGCUUUGCAAGACAGAUGUGAAAUCCCCGGGCUUAACCUGGGAACUGCAUUUGUGACUGCAUGGCUGGAGUGCGGCAGAGGGGGAUGGAAUUCCGCGUGUAGCAGUGAAAUGCGUAGAUAUGCGGAGGAACACCAAUGGCGAAGGCAAUCCCCUGGGCCUGCACUGACGCUCAUGCACGAAAGCGUGGGGAGCAAACAGG